AAGGCAGGAAUUGGGUGACGGGUCAUCCAUUGCAACAAUCAAGGACUGUACUGUGAGGUGAGAUGCUAGUUGCAGUUAGCUAGUCAGUCAGUCUCGCGCUCCAUCUCACUGUCAAAUUAAACAUGCAGUCUCAAUUCCGGGUCCCCUUUCCCACCUCACCUCACCCUGCAGUCCUGCACCCCUUACCUUACAAUCAGAGUCAGCUUAUCAGCAGAGAUUGAUCGUCAGAGUGGUCUGAUCCGUCUCCAUCCGCUGCUUAAUUGCUCUCGCUAGCAAAUAGAAAUGCAUGACACACCACAAUUAACCAACCAUGAAAAGGCUGAAAAGAAAAAGCAGCGGCGGCACAAGUUUCUUCUUCACAAUCACAAGCCUGCAGAGGUUUUCUGCAGGUUGCCAUGGCUCAUCACAAACCAGAGGAGGAAGACAAUGUUAGCAGCUAUGCAGCUAGCUUGCCGAUGGAAGGAGAUGAAGAGCUUGCAUUUUAUCACCACCGCGGACACGGACCCUCCUCUGCCUCAUUAUCCGCAAUCAAAGACCAAGAAGAAAAUUCCUCCUCCACAAAGAAGCCGCUGUCGGUGACGAGCUGCCUGUUGCCAGCACGCAGCCUGAGAUCAACAACGACUAUAAUCCCUGUUGCUCAAGCUCAAACCCAAGCCGACGGCGACGAGGCAUCCGGCGGCUUCCGGUCGCUGUCCUUCUCCAAGCUGUUCAGCUUCAGAAUGCCCAGGGCGCCGUCAUCGCUGGAUUACUUUGAUCAACUUGAUGAUGCUGCUGCUGCUGCUGCAAGUAACUCCGCCACUCUGACCCUAGAUAACAAGGAGGAGAAGCUGAAGCAGAUAUGCCGUUCACAGUCUGUGCCUACGAGCGUGAGGCGAUUCAACGCCAAAGCAGGGUUGAGAAGAGUGGCGGACUCCAGCUCCCUUGGCCUUGGCCCUGGCCCUGCUGGAGUGUUCCGGCUCAGAGUAGUAUCACUUGUUCCUGCUGAUCCAGAAGAGACAGGCGCCGGCAAGGAAGCAGAAGACAUCGCGGCGGAGGAGGCGGUGUGCCGGAUCUGCAUGGUGGCGCUGUCGGAGAGGGCCGACACCACCGGCACCGGCAGGGAGGGGGAAGCAGUGUUGAAGCUGGAGUGCAGCUGCAAGGGCGAGCUGGCCCUGGCGCACAGGGGCUGUGCCAUCAAGUGGUUCAGCAUCAAGGGCAACGGCACCUGCGACGUCUGCAGCCAGGAGGUGCUCAAUCUCCCCGUCACCCUGCGCCGCCUCCAUGACCAUCCGUCCACUCAGGUUCAGGCUACUCAGCAGCAGCAGCAGCAGCAGGCUGAUUCGACCAGCGGCAGCGGCAGCAGCAGCAGGGGUCGAUACAGAGUGUGGCACGGCACGCCAAUCCUCGUGAUCAUCAGCAUGCUCGCCUACUUCUGCUUCCUGGAACAGCUGCUGGUCAGCGACCAUGGCACGGCUGCUCUGGCCAUCUCUUUGCCCUUCGCCUGCGUCCUCGGCCUCUUCUCCUCUCUAACCACAACAAAGAUGGUGUCAAGGAGAUAUGUGUGGAUCUACUCUGCGGUCCAGUUCCUCUUCAUUGUGCUCUUCACCCACCUCUUCUACAGAUACGUGCGGAUGCAAGCAGUGAUUGCCAUAAUCCUGUCCACCUUUGCCGGCUUCAGCGUCGCCAUCUGUACCAACUCCGUCGUCCUCCAGAUUCUCAGAUGGAGGGCUAGGCGUGUGGCGUUGCCGAUCACAACCACAACCGGAGAAGAAGAAGAAGGCCGUGGUUCCAGGGAGCCCCCGGCGGCAGACCUUGAGAUCGCUCUGCCUCCGCUGUAGCGAGCUUCAUUUUGUCAUCCAAUCAUCUUCAGUUCAGUUCAGUUCACUCCAGCUCCACCUCCACAUCCAGCUUGCCAUGGAUAAAAGAGGAUUGUGGGGUAUCCAUCGGGCUGUAACAGGAAGAAAGAGUCAGUUUUGAACAUAUGCAAAUGGGCAGGCAGUUAAUCACAUUUUCAAUGCAUUGAAAUUCAAGAUAAUAACCCCAGGAAAAAUAUCAAAUUGUGGCUACAAUAAGAUCCACGAUUAAAGCUUCAGCACGUAUGGAGGAGAAAGCGAAACAGGUCCAUUGCAUCACAGGUCAUAAUUCCCAGUGUCACGGUACCAUGAGUUUAUCUCACAAGUAUUGAACCAAAAAUCAAAGGGCACAAGCUUCCCCAGGCAUUGCUUAAAAGGUACCAAAAUACUGAAGCAAUAAUUUGCAUAUUGUUCCAUGACACUGUAUCACAUGAUACAAAGGUGGGAGGCAAAUAUAUUUUGACAUGCAUAGUGCAGCAGAACAAGAACACAUAUGUAAUCUUGUGAAUUACAAAACGGUGCAACUUUGAGCCAAAAAGAAAAAGGUAAAUGUAACUUUCACAGGUUUGACAAGUCGCGAUGUUUCAGAUCAUACAUUCCCAGGUUUGUGACUACCUGAUGCACAGCACGAUCAAACUCAGACACUGCAGUGCCUCCCAAACUUAGUACUCCCUUUGUUCCUUUUCAUUUGACGAUUUAGAAUCUAUGCAGUGAAACAUUCCAAACUUUUAAUUUCAUAUGUUUAAAAUUAUUGAGCAGGAUAUAUGAAAACUACGUCACUAGACGUGUCAGUAAAAUACUUUUGUGAUGUUACAGUUUUAUAAAUCCUAGUGAUGUAGAGUUACAAAGAAGUAAUGAUCAAAGUUACAUCUAGGAGACUGUUAAAUAUUUAAAAAAGGCAAUAAAAAAAAGAACGGAUGGAACAAUUUCAUUUAUAGCUCUAAA